rnacentral:rRNA from 1 species
GACAGAGGUGCCAAGCGUUAGGCGGAAUCCCUGGGCUUAAAGCGUGUGUAGGCGGAUCGUUAAGUACCUUGUGAAAUCCCACGGCUCAACCGUGGAACGGCUGGGUAUACUGGCGGUCUUGAGCCACCUAGGGGCGAGCGGAACAAACGGUGGAGCGGUGAAAUGCGUAGAUAUCGUUUGGAACGCCAACGGUGAAAACAGCUCGCUGGGGGUGUGCUGACGCUGAGACACGAAAGCCAGGGGAGCAAACGGG